UACGAAGGUGGCAAGCGUUACUCGGAAUUACUAGGCGUAAAGGGCAGGUAGGUGGUUUGGUUAGUCUGUUGUGAAAGCUCCUUGCUUAACGGGGAGAGGUCAACAGAUACUGCCAGGCUUGAGUAUGGGAGAGGGUACUGGAAUUCCCGGUGUAGCGGUGAAAUGCGCAGAGAUCGGGAGGGAAGCCAAAUGCGAAAGGAGGUACCCUGAACAAUACCGGCACUCAAGUGCGAAAGCUAGGGGAGGAAACAGG
rnacentral:rRNA from 1 species